UACGUAGGGUGCAAGCGUUGCCCGGAUUUAUUGGGCGUAAAGGGCGCGUAGGCGGCUCUGCACGUCCGUUGUGAAAUCGCCCGGCUCAACUGGGCGGGGUCAGCGGAUACGGCGGAGCUUGAGCAAGCUAGGGGGCAAUGGAAUUCCCGGUGUAGUGGUGAAAUGCGUAGAUAUCGGGAGGAACACCAGUGGCGAAGGCGACUACCUGGCCUGUCCUUGACGCUGAGGCGCGAAAGCUAGGGGAGCAAACGGG
rnacentral:rRNA from 1 species